rfam:Actinobacteria bacterium RBG_16_68_21 RBG_16_scaffold_315, whole genome shotgun sequence.
CGCGGGGUGGAGCAGUCUGGUAGCUCGUCGGGCUCAUAACCCGAAGGUCGCGGGUUCAAAUCCCGCCCCCGCUA